GAAGCGGCAACAGCUCAAAUUUGAAACCUGGCGCUUGCGUCUGGAUUGUAAUUUGUAGAGGAUGCUUCUGGGCAGCGGCCGUUCUAAGUUCCUUGGAACAGGACGUCAUAGAGGGUGAGAAUCCCGUAUGUGACCGGCGCGCACCCUCCACGUAGCUCCUUCGACGAGUCGAGUUGUUUGGGAAUGCAGCUCUAAAUGGGAGGUAAAUUUCUUCUAAAGCUAAAUAUUGGCCAGAGACCGAUAGCGCACAAGUAGAGUGAUCGAAAGAUGAAAAGCACUUUGGAAAGAGAGUUAAAAAGCACGUGAAAUUGUUGAAAGGGAAGCGCUUCCAACCAGACUCCGCGGCGGUGUUCCGCCGGUCUUCUGACCGGUCCACUCGCCGCCGUGGGGCCAACAUCGUCUGGGGCCGCCGGAUAAGACCGGAGGAAUGUAGCUCAUUGAGUGUUAUAGCCUCCGGUGAUGCGGCGCGUCCCGGGCGAGGUCCGCGCUUCGGCAAGGAUGUUGGCGUAAUGGUUGGCAGCGGCCCGUCUUGAAACACGGACCAAGGAGUCUAACAUCUAUGCGAGUGUUCGGGUGUCAAACCCCUACGCGUAAUGAAAGUGAACGGAGGUGGGAGCUUCGGCGCACCAUCGACCGAUCCUGAUGUCCUCGGAUGGAUUUGAGUAAGAGCAUAGCUGUUGGGACCCGAAAGAUGGUGAACUAUGCCUGAAUAGGGUGAAGCCAGAGGAAACUCUGGUGGA
rnacentral:rRNA from 2 species